AGAGAUGUAGCUCAGUGAUAGAGAACUUGCUUAGCAUGCAUGAGUCCCUGGGUUCUUUUCCCAGCCCUAUCUA
rnacentral:tRNA from 1 species